rnacentral:rRNA from 1 species
ACGCUGGCGGCAGGCCUAAUACAUGCAAGUCGAGCGCGCCCUUCGGGGUGAGCGGCGGACGGGUGAGUAACGCGUGGGAAUAUGCCCUUCUCUAAGGAAUAGCCUCUGGAAACGGAGAGUAAUACCUUAUACGCCCUUUGGGGGAAAGAUUUAUCGGAGAAGGAUUAGCCCGCGUUAGAUUAGGUAGUUGGUGGGGUAAUGGCCUACCAAGCCUACGAUCUAUAGCUGGUUUGAGAGGAUGAUCAGCCACACUGGGACUGAGACACGGCCCAGACUCCUACGGGAGGCAGCAGUGGGGAAUAUUGGACAAUGGGGGCAACCCUGAUCCAGCAAUGCCGCGUGUGUGAUGAAGGCCUUAGGGUUGUAAAGCACUUUCACUUGGGAAGAUGAUGACGGUAACCAGAGAAGAAGCCCCGGCUAACUUCGUGCCAGCAGCCGCGGUAAUACGAAGGGGGCGAGCGUUGUUCGGAAUUACUGGGCGUAAAGGGCGCGUAGGCGGUCUUUUAAGUUAGGCGUGAAAGCCCCGGGCUCA